AAUGAAUUGAAGAGUUGGUUCUUUGAAACAAUAAAUAAAAUAGAUAAACCCCUAGCCAACCUUAUCAAAAAAAGGAAAGAAAAAACUCACAUCCGUGCAAUAAAGUAUUAAUGAAUUGAAGAGUUGGUUCUUUGAAACAAUAAAUAAAAUAGAUAAACCCCUAGCCAACCUUAUCACAAAAAGGAAAGAAAAAACUCACAUCCGUGCAAUAAGGAAUGAAAGAGGUGAAACACAGCCUCAAAAAAAAAAAAAAAAAAUCAAAAAGAAAUCAAAAGAAAAAAAAGGAAGACAAAAUGCUCGAGUUGAUUUGUCCAGAUAAAAACGUCUGAGUCACAAGCUACCACUCAGCAACAGGAUGAGAACCCUACUUCACCCUGGCCCCUCACACUGGCUUUGGCAUUCGGUGCCCAACUACAACCCCACGCGGCCGCGCUGAGCGCAUUCCGGGUUCAGCGAGCCAAAGAUCCAGGCGCGGGCCGGGUCUCUGGCGUCCACUAGGGACCGUGCUGGAAGCUCUCGCGGGCGACAGAGCAGGAAACGGCCCCAAGUCAGGCGGGGAGCGGGAGAGGGCACCGGGAGCCGCAGGUCGGGGCGUCACCUGUGGGCCGCGGCGCAGCUCAAGCAGGAUCCCGAGGACACCGGAUCGCACUGCGGGGCCCGGACCGCGGACGGGGAGGACCCGCGGAAGCCCUCAGACCCCAAACCCUGAGUGCCCCAAGUCCUAGUAAACUCGGGAGCCUCGGGCAGCACAGCCUCAGGUCCUCACCCUGCUGGAUGGCUCCGCUGAACACCCCGCUUCCCUGUCCCCAGAGGACCCAUGGCGCAGGCUCGACCCCUGAAUUCGUCCUGCACGUCCUGGCCCGGCUGCUGCUGCUGUGGGAAGCUCUCUGGGCGGCCUGCAAUGGCACCCUCUCUCUUUGCUAUGAAUUCAUCAUCUAUCCUAAAACCCCAAUUAGAAAGCAAUGGUGCACAAUCCCAGGUCUGCUGGAUCAGAAGAAUUUUCUUUACUAUGACUGCGAUAGUGCCAAAGCCAAAUCUACGGAUGUCCUUGGAGGGAAGGUUAAUAGCACCAAGACCUGGGAAGACAAAUCAGAAACACUGCAGGAUUUGAGCAACACAUUCAAAUGGGAGCUGCUUGAUCUUAAACUAGAGAACUGUACAUCAACAGGUAAGUCACAAUUCUUGCAGAGAAUAACAGAGCUGGUAUGGCUUUAG
ensembl:lincRNA